rnacentral:rRNA from 1 species
AUGAAGUACCCGGUUGGGUUCCGCUUCGCCCCGACGGACGAGGAGCUGGUGGAGUACUACCUCCUGCCCCGGCUGCAGGGCCGGCAGCACGUGCCCAACCUCGCCAUCAUCCAGGACAACGUCUACCAGUGCCACCCGGACGACCUCGUCAACGGCAAGUACAAGGACAAGGGGCAGGACAACAACUGGUUCUUCCUGACGUCGAGGACCCGCAAGUACGUCAACGGCGGCAGGCCGGCCCGGACGACGGACGACGGCCGGGGGCGGUGGAAGGCGUCGACGGGCACCACGGAGGUCGUCGGCGCCACCGUCACGUACAAGGAGAGCGGCCUCGCCUACCAUGAAGGCCCCAUCAAGACCGAGAGGAAGACCAAGUGGCUCAUGCACGAGCUCACCGUCCCCGAGUACGAGAACAAGCUCGACAAGAGCGGUGUCGACCGGCCCAAAACCGAUACGCUGGACGAGUACGUCAUGUGCAGGAUCUACGUGACGCCGAGGAAGCGGAAAAGGAACGACGACGAGGCGGGCCCCAGCGGGACGCCGGAAGAAUUUACGUGUCUGCUGGCUGCGUCGCCGGAGCUCGGCCCGGUGGAGACGGCGGGGCCGAAGCUCUCGGAGCGACAGGCGGGCAAGAGGCCCGUCGAGCCGGAGCAGCCUCUGGACCGAUGCUUCGGACCACAAGACGGCAUGCAGGUGCGCCGUUUCGGGACUGCUACUGGGUACCCCCACGGUGGAACCGGGCUGACGACGAUGGCAUACAACCCCCAUACAUCAAUGGCGCGGCCGCCGGUGGCGUUCACCGGCCAGAUGCCCGCGUCCGGGGCCGCCGCACCUCCCCAUGGCUAUUUCGCCCCGGCAACGAUGAUGGGACGCCAUUUGGGCGCCCCGUCCAGCCAAGCGUUCGGACCACCGCUGGUGACUCUCGCGCGACGUCCACAGAUGAUGCAGAAGCAGCCGGAGACGGAGGAGAUGCGCCAGAAGCGAGCGUACCAGCAACAUGUGGACGAAAUGGUGAGGUGUGGCAUGAGCAUGAUGCAACAGCCUGGAGAUGCGGCUCACGCUGCGCAGCAGCCGCGACCGAUGGCGUCCAUGAAGCAGAAGCAGCAGCAACCAUACUUUGGCGAUGGAGUCAAUAAUCAUCGUGUGGCCCCUCAGUUCCUGCCUUGCAACAAUCAAUCAGUCCAAGUUCAGAAUUGGCAGUGCAGUUGGGCGGUCCCAGCUGAUUCUGGCGCGACGACGGUGCCGGCGACGGUCAAGGCGAAGGAGGUUGCAGAGACUGGGGCCGCAAACGAGGGGGCCGACGUCAAUGGGGAUUGCAACAGUGAUAGUGAGAAGCGCUCUGUGGAGGCUGAGACCAAGGGUGUGUUUCCUUGA